GCCGGGCAUGGUGGUGCACGCCUGUAAUCCCGGGCUUGGGAGGCUGAGGCAGGAGGAUUGCCCAUUCAAAGUCAGCCUCAGCAAAAGGGAGACACUAAGCAACUCAGUGAGACCCUGUCUCUA
rnacentral:sRNA from 1 species